rnacentral:rRNA from 1 species
UACGUAGGGGGCUAGCGUUGUCCGGAUUUAUUGGGCGUAAAGCGCGUGUAGGCGGCCCAGCAAGUCUGGUGUGAAAAUCUCGGGGCUUAACCCCGAGCGGUCACUGGAUACUACUGGGCUAGAGUCCGGAAGAGGAGAGUGGAAUUCCUGGUGUAGCGGUGGAAUGCGCAGAUAUCAGGAGGAACACCGAUGGCGAAGGCAGCCCUCUGGUACGGUACUGACGCUGAGACGCGAAAGCGUGGGGAGCGAACGGG